GGGGGAAUCAGCGCACUGCCGGGGCAGGGCACAGCGGCUAUAACGGGCGGAAUGAGCCGUGAGAGUAGUCGAGCGUGUAGUAGUUAUUUGCGUCUCCGUGUACGUGCUGUAGAAAUAUACUUGUGCUUGGAACUGUGUGCGAAGGGUACUUCUGGCUCCCCGAUAUAUCCCUCACUCUUGGCCUUUGGUUCUUUAGUUGCAAUGUGUUUGCUCACCCUGUGUGAUGACCUCCUCACCUCAAGUUUUAGUAUCAAGUUAGAAUCGGUUACCUUCUUCAUCCUCGCAGAAAAUAAAUCAAGAGCUGACUGGGCAGUGAAGACCAAACCACUCCUCAGUCUGGAUUUGCCGUACUGUUUUUGAAUAUUCUGGGCAAAAAGCCAAGAGAAAGUAGCUCUUACCAAGUUAAAUUAGCUUUCUCUUUUGCAGGCUGAACAGCCCCAGGUCUCUCAGCCUUUCCUCAUAUAGGAGAUGCUUCAGGCACUUCAUCAUCUUCAGGGCCUUCCGCUGGUCUCUCUCUAGAAGUUCCCUGUCUUUCCUGAGCUGAGGAACCCAGAACUGCACACAGUACUCUGGAUGUGGCCCCACCUGGGCAGAGCAGAGGGGGAGGAUCAUCUCUUUUGAUCUGCUGGCCACGCUCUUUUAAGUGCACUCCAGAAUACCACUGGAAGAUAGAAGACAAAAUUAUUAGAGCCAGAAUUAGGCUCCUCAAGGCCUAAUUGAACAGAUUCCAAGGCAUACACUCUUCUCUGUUUACACUGCAAUUUUUUUUAUUUUCACCAUUGCUUCCUGUGAUGUCAGACUCAAGCAGUUGCACUUGUUAUUUGAAGAAGACUGGGGAAGAACAGAAACCUCUCAAAGAAAGGGAACCCAAAGGUGUUUGGCAAAAGAAGUUCUUCUUGUCCUUCUAGUACUACCUUUCUUUAUAUUCCGCAUCACAUGAAUAUAAACUCACUGUAAAGCUUUCUAGGUAUGUACAGGCAUUUGAAACAGGAUGGUUUGUUAGCCUUCGUAUUUCAUCUCUUGUUGGCUGCCUGAGAGUCUGAAAAUUUAUCUUCCAUUCCAGCAUAGACUAUGAUCCAGUGUGUAUACCAGAGUACUUAAACACUUCUGCUCAUUAGCUCCCAGUAUUUCUUCAGGCUCACUUCACUGUUUUGAGAAGAAAUUGUAUUGUCAGCACAGUGUUUUUCAAUAAUGUUUUAAUGAUAUGAAAUGUAUCAAUUAAAGAUGACAUUUACUGUUUUUUUUUCAGUGCUGAGAAAAUGACACCACUAGAGCCAUUUUCUAAGUAACUGAAGAAGAUCAACUAAAAUAAGAUUGUAAUUUCAUUAGGUAGAUGCACAAUAAGAUUACAGUAUCUUGUGAAGUUCCUAAAAGCUUACAGUGCAAAUAGUAGCUAAUAUUCUGAGACUGUCUUAGUUUCCAUAAAACUUGAGUAUAUGCAUAGUAAACUAUUAUUCUAGAAAACAAAUUAAUAAACUAUUAAAUGUAUCUUUCCUUGAU
rnacentral:lncRNA from 7 species